CCUACGGGAGGCAGCAGUAAGGAAUAUUGGUCAAUGGACGAAAGUCUGAACCAGCCAUGCCGCGUGAAGGAUUAAGGCCCUCUGGGUUGUAAACUUCUUUUAUCUGGGACGAAAAAAGGGUAUUCUUACUCACUUGACGGUACCAGAGGAAUAAGCACCGGCUAACUCCGUGCCAGCAGCCGCGGUAAUACGGAGGGUGCAAGCGUUAUCCGGAUUUACUGGGUUUAAAGGGUGCGUAGGUGGGUCUGUAAGUCAGUGGUGAAAUCUCCGAGCUUAACUCGGAAACUGCCAUUGAUACUAUAGGUCUUGAAUUAUCUGGAGGUAAGCGGAAUAUGUCAUGUAGCGGUGAAAUGCUUAGAUAUGACAUAGAACACCAAUUGCGAAGGCAGCUUACUACGGAUAUAUUGACACUGAGGCACGAAAGCGUGGGGAUCAAACAGGAUUAGAUACCCUGGUAGUCCACGCCCUAAACGAUGGAUACUCGACAUCAGCGAUACACUGUUGGUGUNUGAGNGAAGANAUAGUAUCCACCGNGGAGAGAGUCGCGAGAUUAGUAAGUUACGAAAGAAGUUAGAGGCGNGAGAGNGCGACGGACGACGACGAGGGAGGAGG
rnacentral:rRNA from 1 species